GGGAGACGGGGAGUCAGAGAAAGAGAAGAGAAAAGGAGAAAGGAGGAGAGGAGGACGCUGACUUUCGCUGUCAAGCCCUUGCACCCGGAAAAUCACCAUCGUAUUUCAGGGUUGGAAGCCCCUGGGACCGCUGGGUUUUGGAGGCUGUGCGGAAAAAAAAAAUCUUGCUCGACGUGAAGCCGCGGGCCGCUGGCCGACCGACUGCAGUGAACUCGAGAAAUUAACCUGCGCUACGAUGCACGGGGCUGCCGCCCGCUCCGACUCACCUCCAGCGACCGAGACAGAGAGCUCCCGAACCGGCCGCGGGGGGACCUGGCUCCUCCCUCCCGUCCCAGGAGAAGAGGACAAAAAGGGGAGAUGGACUUGGAGAUGGCCCCGCCCUUCAAACGCUCCAAUCCUUGGAAACUAAACCUCCUCUCCAAGCCUCCCCGUCUACAAGGGACAAAGGCAGCGAGGAGAUCCUGAGACCGAUGGGUGGCUUCGGGGCUCCUCCCGAGGGGGCGUGGGGGGGGGGGCAAGGUACGGUGGCCGAGUCUCCAUUCCUAAUACAGGACAGUCUUUAGAAGACCAUCUUCUGCUUUAGCAGCGAAUUGACUUCCCAAAGCCGGGAAGCGAACUCCUGCAAAACUCCCGCAAAGCCUUUUUGAAUGUGGAAAAGCUAAAUUUUCAAUUAGUGAUGCCACACACACACACACACACACACAUUUUUUUUCUUUUCCGACUUCUUUUGGAGUCACAAGUGCCCGAACUGUCCAACUAAAAUAAAAGAAAAAAAAUUGUAACAUGGUUGGGGAUUAGGCUCUUUUUUUUUUUUUUUUUUAA